CAAAGAAGAGAAGGUAGGUCAACUUUGAAAAAAUUGCAAGUAUAGAGGUCUACCUGUUUGGCUUGUAAUGUCAGAAAUAGUAUCAAAACAAUAACAAAAUCAAACAACUUGUUGCAUUUAUUUUGAAUAAAUAAUUGAAAACCGCGAAAACUGAAUGAAAGGUCAACACUUCUUUUCGAAACCAGGUUCCAUGGUAGAAUUACAAGGUAACCCUUUCAGGCCAGCUGUAGUCAACUUGAUAUGUCAAACAAGUUGUUGUAAUUCGAAUUCGCCGUAGAAAUACAUAACAGAAAUUCAAACAUCAUAGAGGAAAAAAUAAACACAAAAAUAUAAAAAUCAAAUUUUGUGAUAUAAUUCAAAUAAAAAAAACAGAAUAUGAGGUGCUGUGCUGUUUGCAAAAGAAAGGAUAGUGAACGACAAGCAACAUUUUUCAAUGUACCCAAGGGAGAGACGAAGAGGUUGAAGUGGAGUGCGAUUUGUGGGAUCACUUUAAACCCAAACGCCAAAAUAUGUUCUCAUAACUUCAACCCAAAGUAUAUAACGGGCAUAAGUUGUAGAAUGAAAAUAUUACCAUGCGCUGUACCAGAGAUGUAUCAAUUCUAAUUCUAUGGUGGUUCAAAAAAGAAAUGUCCAGGCGGAGCCCAAUGCAAAGAAGUCGGGAGGAUGCUUCAGUGUGAGGCUGGAAUAAAUAAAAAUGACAAAGAAGUUGUUAUGCCCUACCAUAUCACAUAUCUUAUGCAAAGAAGCAACAACAUCAACUUAACGGAUAAAGCUAAAGAGCUUUUUUUCAAAUGCCGAAUAUUUUUUAGGGUUAGGCAACUAAAUAGACGACUCAAAGUUAAGAAAGCGAAACAGCGGAUCAUGACCAAUAAAAAAUUUUUCAAAAUAAAAUUAUGAACUUCAUUUAACGAUCAUCAUUUAACCGUCAUCCAGACCUUUGAGAAAAUUUUGACCAAAAACGCCCC